CUGUCUCUGCUCCACACCUUGUCCCUGUAUUUCCUCCUGUGAGUGUUUUGUGACUCACUUCUGUCUCUUGAACUCCAGGGAUCAGGAUGUGGAACCUGGUGCUCCAUCCAUGGGAGCCAAAAGCCUUUGCAUUCCUUUCAACCCUCUGUGUGAGCUGCAGCCAGGAGCCAUGUGUGUCUGUGGCAAGAAUCCUGCCAAGUUCUACACCUUGUUUGGUCGGAGUUACUGAUGGAUGAAACAGAAGCCUCUCCCGUCCUUUUUUUAAAACCAAUGAUACUAAGAUCUCAGAUACAGUUUUUCUUUUUCAUUUUUUAAAACUUCUAAAAAGGUCACAAAAUAAACAGCUAUUCUUAUGCCCAAAUUAACAGUGGAAAAUACUUUUCUGUAAACAGCCAGGGUAAUAAAAACCAUGAACUAAUUGU
rnacentral:lncRNA from 1 species